GAGUUUGAUCCUGGCUCAGAUUGAACGCUGGCGGCAGGCCUAACACAUGCAAGUCGAGCGGUAGAGAGAAGCUUGCUUCUCUUGAGAGCGGCGGACGGGUGAGUAAUGCCUAGGAAUCUGCCUGGUAGUGGGGGAUAACGCUCGGAAACGGACGCUAAUACCGCAUACGUCCUACGGGAGAAAGCAGGGGACCUUCGGGCCUUGCGCUAUCAGAUGAGCCUAGGUCGGAUUAGCUAGUUGGUGAGGUAAUGGCUCACCAAGGCGACGAUCCGUAACUGGUCUGAGAGGAUGAUCAGUCACACUGGAACUGAGACACGGUCCAGACUCCUACGGGAGGCAGCAGUGGGGAAUAUUGGACAAUGGGCGAAAGCCUGAUCCAGCCAUGCCGCGUGUGUGAAGAAGGUCUUCGGGAUUGUAAAGCACUUUAAGUUGGGAGGAAGGGCAGUAAAAUUAAUACUUUAGCUGUUUUGACGUUACCGACAGAUAAGCACGGCUAACUCUGUGCCAGCA
rnacentral:rRNA from 1 species